AUGACCAGUGACUUUCCUUCCGUUACUGCAGAGUCCUUCCUUCAAGAGCUUAAAAGCUCACUGUUUGAGGAAAUACAUGAGGAUGAAACGGUACUUCAAGCCUCAACAGACUGGUCGACCCGAAAGAGCCUCAUAUCAGGGUGGUGGGAGAAAGAGAGACCCCGACUGGUCAACACCAUGGUGGCUGGACAACAUGCGGCAACUCGGAUCUGCCAACAUUGUGGAAAUGGUCCAGCCGUAAUCCGUUGUUGUGACUGCCGACCACACCCAUUCCUCUGUGGCCAGUGUGAUGUCAGGGUCCACCGAGGUCAAGUGUUCCACAACAGGGAUUCGAUGACACAUGCAUUCUUUCAUCCAUUGCCUCCCACAACUUGUGUUGUGGAGAGGGUUCUAACCCAGUGUGAGCGUCUUGUACCUUUGGAGAUGCCAGAGACAAUAUGCGGUUGUCUACGAGUAUCGUCCAGUGUCAUCGCAGGACAGUCCAUAGUUGUGGUUACAAUGAAUGGGCGAUAUGAUCUCAGAUUGCCUCAGAUUAGAUGCAAAGCAUGUGAAGCCACUUGGAGUCCUGGAGUGGAUGACCUGAUCCGUAAUGACUACUGGCCUGCCACUUCUCACUAUUCAACUGUGUAUGCAACAGAUGUCCUUUUUUCUUUUUGAAGAGCUGAAGAUGGCAGCACCAGGGAUGUCUAGCCAAGCAUUUCUUAGAAUGCUGGAUCAACGCACUGUUCGAUUUGGCCGUGUAAGUAUUUGUGGUAAUAAUUGCGUAACUCCAUAAAUAAUACUAUGAGGGCAUGAUGAUGAUGAUAGUACACAUGAACAUUUGCACUGUUUAGGAAAAAAAAGUUGUGUUCAAUUUAGACCCUUUAUAAACAACCAUAAACUCAUGUUCUCUCAUCAGCAGUUUGCACUGAGACAUUUCCAACAGGUAAUUCUGAAGAUCUCAACUUCUACUCCAUUGGCUACAGACUUUGACAUCUUCUCCCCAAUAUCAUUUCCUGAUCCCAGAAGUGUUCCCUUGGAUUAAUGGCCCAAACACUGCACAGGCUUACUUCUAAACAAUAU
ensembl:lncRNA